AUACUUACCUGGACGGGGUUUAUGGGUGAUCAAAAAGACCUAUGACCUAGUUCAAUGACCUUCAUUGUACAUUGAAGGGGCAUUGGUCUACCAUCUCCCCAAGUUGGGAGAGUGGACGUCAUAAUUUAUGAUAGUAGGGUACGCGUUCGCGCGACCUUG